rnacentral:misc_RNA from 1 species
AGAGUUGAUGUUUCAAUAUAUGAUCUUGUUGUUGGAGAUGUUGUUCCCCUCAAUAUUGGUGACCAAGUACCUGCUGAUGGAAUUUUAAUUAUUGGUCACUCUCUUGCAAUUGAUGAAUCUAGCAUGACUGGAGAAAGCAAGAUUGUUCACAAGAAUUCCCGGGAACCAUUUCUAAUGUCGGGCUGUAAAGUGGCUGAUGGUAGUGGCACUAUGUUGGUGACGAGUGUUGGGAUUAACACUGAAUGGGGGUUGCUUAUGGCUAGUAUAUCAGAAGACACUGGUGAAGAAACACCAUUGCAGGUGCGCUUAAAUGGAGUUGCUACUUUUAUUGGUAUUGUUGGACUGACGGUAGCUUUUCUUGUCUUGGUUGUACUUUUGGUCAGAUUCUUUACUGGCCAUACCAAGGAUGCAAAUGGACGACCUCAGUUUAAAGCGGGUAAAACUAGUGUUGGUGAUGCAGUAGAUGGAGCCAUUAAAAUUCUUACUGUUGCGGUAUGUGCCCCCCUUGUUUGAUGCUCUCUCUUUGUUCAUUUUUGUGGUCAACUGAUGUUUAAAGUUUUUAGGUUACCAUCGUUGUAGUUGCAGUGCCUGAAGGGCUUCCUUUAGCUGUUACCUUAACGUAAGUUUCUUUUCAUAUAAAAGGUCUUUUAUAUAUUGUUCAUUUUUUUUGUGUAAACAUCAAAAUUCUGUUCCAUUAUCACUUGCGGUGCUGUGGGAUAUUGGUUUUUGUAGCAGAUUAACUUCCACCUUUCCUUUUAUAUGGCAAAUGAUGCUAAUUGACUUUUGAAUUUGCUGCUUCCAUUGUGAUAUUUUUCGGAUUUUAUCUACUUGUUUGCAUUUUCUAAAAUUUUCUUUAUGACAGUCUUGCCUAUUCUAUGAGAAAAAUGAUGGCAGAUAGGGCCUUGGUGCGUAGACUUUCUGCCUGUGAAACCAUGGGUUCUGCAACAACCAUUUGCAGUGACAAGACUGGUACUUUAACCCUGAAUCAGAUGACUGUUGUUGCUGCUUAUGCUGGUAGCAAAAAAAUUGAUCCUCCAGAAAAGAAGUCCCAAUUGUCUCCUAAGCUGUCCUCUUUACUUAUUGAAGGCGUUGCACAGAAUACAAAUGGCAGUGUUUUUAUCCCUGAGGGUGGAGGAGACGUAGAGGUUUCUGGAUCACCAACAGAGAAAGCCAUUCUUGUUUGGGGAGUUAAGCUGGGCAUGAAUUUUGAUGCUGUUCGAUCAGAAUCAACUGUUAUUCAUGUUUUCCCAUUCAACUCACAGAAAAAAAGAGGCGGUGUGGCACUACAACUGCCUGACUCUGAAGUCCAUAUACACUGGAAGGGGGCUGCUGAAAUAGUCUUAGCCUCAUGUACAGCUUACUUUGGUGAAAAUGAUAACAUCGAACCAAUGGAUGAUGAAAAGGCUUUAUUUUUCAAGAAAGCUAUUGAAGAUAUGGCAGCCGGCAGUUUGCGCUGUAUUGCUAUUGCGUAUCGAUCUUAUGAGAUCGAUAAAGUUCCAGUCGGUGAACAAGAGCUGAGUCAAUGGGCAUUACCUGAGGAUGAUCUUGUUUUGCUAGCUAUUAUUGGCUUAAAGGACCCAUGUCGACCAGGUGUCAAAGAAGUAGUGCGAUUGUGUCAAAAUGCUGGUGUUAAGGUGCGCAUGGUCACUGGUGACAAUCUUCAAACUGCUAAAGCAAUUGCUUUGGAAUGUGGGAUACUAAGUUCAGACGAAAAUGCUAUGGAACCAUAUCUUAUUGAAGGAAGAGUAUUUCGUCGCUACUCAGAGGAAGAAAGAAAAGCAAUUGCUGAGGACAUCUUAGUAUGGGAAAUUUGUUUGGAUGUCUUUUUCUUUUUCUUGUUUCUUUGCACUCAUUAAUUAUGUCUAUCAAACGUCAAAUUAACUUGAAACAUUUAGUUCCACCUUUCAAUGUAAAGGUGAUGGGACGGUCUUCUCCAAAUGACAAACUUCUACUUGUUCAAGCAUUGAAAAAGAGGAAACAUGUUGUCGCUGUAACUGGAGAUGGCACAAAUGAUGCUUCUGCAUUACAUGAGGUUUGACUGUGUUUUAUGAUUGUUGUUAAAAUUGCUUCAUGCAAUUCAAGUUUUAGUCUCAGAAUGAUAGUUUGGAUGAAUGAAAAAACAGGUGAGCACGUAAGAUGACAUGAAGUAAUGAAAAAGGACUUAGCUCCCUGGACACUUAUAAAAUUGUAGACCUAAACAGGCAGGGUGGAGUGGAGGAAAGAGAUUCUUAUAGUUGACUGUGACCCCAACUAGUUGAGAUUAAGGUUUCGUUGAGUUGAGUUAAUGAUUGUUUGGAGCAAGUUGGUUGGAUAAUUGUGAAUUCUGUGAAUGAAUAUCUAAAGGUGCAUCCAGAUGUUUGGAUUCACUUUCUGAUGCAUUCCACCUAUCUGGUAUUGUAAGAAACAAAUGCUUAAAUGAUUUUUUAUGUUCUUGAGCAUUUUAGUUUGUGAAUUGAAACAUUAAUUUCUACUACACCUUUAGUUGCACAAUAGUGGCUUGUUACUUAUCCUUAUAUUCAGGAUUGCACAUGCUACUUAUUUUCCUAAAUUGCUGUUUGUGUUUGAUUUAUUUUUUAAUUUUCGGUUGUGGUAUUUAGGCAGAUGUUGGUCUUUCAAUGGGUAUUCAAGGUACAGAAGUUGCUAAAGAGAGUUCUGAUAUUGUAAUUCUGGAUGACAACUUUGCUUCAGUUGUGAAGGUUGUCCGAUGGGGUAGAUCUGUAUAUGCAAAUAUUCAGAAGUUCAUCCAGUUUCAACUUUCAGUUAAUGUUGCAACCAUCAUUAUAAAUAUUGUGGCUGCAAUUUUUUCUGGUGAGGUCCCAUUGAAUACUGUACAGCUUCUUUGGGUUAAUCUUAUUAUGGACACUCUUGGGGCAUUGGCAUUGGCUACUGAGCCACCUACAGAUCACCUGAUGCACAAGCCCCCUGUUGGUCGCAGGUGAGAAAUUUUAUGAUGGUUGGCACGUUGGUGGACAGUGAUAUAAAUGUUGUGUUGAUGGUUGGCACCUUGGUAAGCUAGUGUUAUUCUAUUCAAGGAAACAGAUGCAUUCAAGUCCUAUUAGGAAGAACUAAAAGUGGAUGUAGAAAAAUCUAGUUCAUUCCAUCUGUAAAAUCAUUCAUACUGGGAGUUGGAAGCCCUUUCUGAUUCCUUCCCCAAACCCCAAACCCCCCUUUUCUUUUCUUUUCUUGGAUAUAAAAGGGGCACUGAAGUAGGGCCCAAAGAAAGCAACAAACAUAUGAAAAUGGUUUGUCCACCUCCAUCACCACUAGUGUCAGGCACUAGCAAUCUAAGAAUAGAGUUUAUCAAACACUUUCACUCCCAAAUGAAAUGGAAGAUCAAUAGUAAUGAAUCAGCAGUAAAGUCCCUUCACUCUUCCUCCACACCACCA